rnacentral:rRNA from 1 species
ACGGCUCACCAAGCCUAUAACCGGUACGGGCCAUGAGAGUGGGAGCCCGGAGAUGGGCACUGAGACAAGGGCCCAGGCCCUACGGGGCGCAGCAGUUGCGAAACCUCCACAAUGCACGAAAGUGCGAUGGGGCUAACCCGAGUGCCGUCCGCUGAGGAGGGCUUUUCUCCGCUGUAAGGAGGCGGAGGAAUAAGGAGAGGGCAAGACUGGUGUCAGCCGCCGCGGUAAUACCAGCUCUCCGAGUGGUAGGGACGAUUAUUGGGCCUAAAGCGUUCGUAGCCGGCUUGGCAAGUCUCUCGUUAAAUCCAGUGACCUAAUCGCUGGGCUGCGGGAGAUACUGUCAGGCUUGGGAGCGGAAGAGGUCGACGGUAUUCUCGGGGUAGGGGUGAAAUCCUGUAAUCCCGGGAGGACCACCAGUGGCGAAGGCUGUCGACUAGAACGCGUCCGACGGUGAGGGACGAAAGCUGGGGGAGCGAACCGGAUUAGAUACCCGGGUAGUCCCAGCUGUAAACUAUGCGGGCUAGGUGUCAGUGUGGCUACGAGCCACUCUGGUGCCGCAGGGAAGCUCAUAAGCCCGCCGCCUGGGAAGUA